rnacentral:rRNA from 1 species
GAUGAACGCUGGCGGCGUGCUUAAUACAUGCAAGUCGAGCGGACGGACGAGAAUGUUGCAUCGCUGAUGUGAGGGGCGGGCGGGUGAGUAACACGUGAAUAACCUACCUAAAAGACUGGGAAGACGUAGGGAAACCGGAACUAAUACCAGAGGAUAUUUUGAACCGGGUGGUUCAAAAGUGAAAGACGGUCGUGCUGUGACUUGUAGAUGGAUCCGCGCUUCAUUAGCUAGUUGGUAAGGUAAUGGCUGACCAAGGCAACGAUGAAUAGCCGACCUGAGAGAGAGAUCUACCCCACCGGAGCUGGUACACGGACCCGAGUCGUCCGGGAGGCAGCAGUAGCGAAUCUUCGGCGCUGGGGGGAAGCAUAGCGGAGCAACGCCGCGUGAGUGAUGAAGGUCUUCGGAUCGUAAGAAUCUGUUUUUCGGGAAGAACAUAUGUGUCAGUAGCUGAGAAGAACGUGACGGUACCUGAACAGAAAGCCACGGCUAACUACGUG